AUUGAACGCUGGCGGCAGGCCUAACACAUGCAAGUCGAACGGUAACAGGAAACAGCUUGCUGUUUCGCUGACGAGUGGCGGACGGGUGAGUAAUGUCUGGGAAACUGCCUGAUGGAGGGGGAUGACGACUGGAAACGGUAGCUAAUACCGCAUAACGUCGCAAGACCAAAGAGGGGGACCUUCGGGCCUCUUGCCCUCGGAUGUGCCCAGAUGGGAUUAGCUAGUAGGUGGGGUAACGGCUCACCUAGGCGACGAUCCCUAGCCGGUCUGAGAGGAUGACCAGCCACACUGGAACUGAGACACGGUCCAGACUCCUACGGGAGGCAGCAGUGGGGAAUAUGGCACAAUGGGCGCAAGCCUGAUGCAGCCAUGCCGCGUGUAUGAAGAAGACCUUCGGGUUGUAAAGUACUUUCAGCGGGGAGGAAGGGAGUAAAGUCAAUACCUUUGCUCAUUGACGUUACCCGCAGAAGAAGCACCGGCUAACUCCGUGCCAGCCGCCGCCGUAA
rnacentral:rRNA from 1 species